rnacentral:rRNA from 1 species
CGUAUAUUAAAAUUGUUGCAGUUAAAAAGCUCGUAGUUGAAUUUCUGCUGCAUUGCUUUUGCUCCUUUACGAGUCUUUGCAUUGUGGCUUAUUUCGGACUUUGUUUUACAAUGUCCGGAUGUUUACUUUGAGAAAAUUAGAGUGCUCAAAGCAGGCUUUCGCCUUGAAUAGUUUAGCAUGGAAUAAUAAAGUAGGACUUUGGUUCUAUUUUGUUGGUUUUAGGUACCAAAGUAAUGGUUAAUAGGAACAGUUGGGGGCAUUCGUAUUUAACUGUCAGAGUGAAAUUCUU